GACGAACGCUGGCGGCGUGCCUAAUACAUGCAAGUCGAACGCUGAAGGAGGAGCUUGCUUCUCUGGAUGAGUUGCGAAAGGGUGAGUAACGCGUAGGUAACCUGCCUGGUAGCGGGGGAUAACUAUUGGAAACGAUAGCUAAUACCGCAUAAGAGUAGAUGUUGCAUGACAUUUGCUUAAAAGGUGCAAUUGCAUCACUACCAGAUGGACCUGCGUUGUAUUAGCUAGGUGGUGGGGGAACGGCUCACCAAGGCGACGAUACAUAGCCGACCUGGGAGGGGGGUCGGCCAAAAUGGGACUGGGACAAGGCCCAGGACUCUACGGGGGGCAACAAGAGGGGAUCUUCGGCAAUGGAGGGAAGUCUGGCCGAACAACGCCGCGUGAGUGGAGGAGGUUUUCGGAUCGUAAAGCUCUGUUGUAAGGGGAGAACGAGUGUGAGAGUGGAAAGUUCACGCUGUGACGGUACCUAACCAGAAAGGGACGGCUAACUACGUG
rnacentral:rRNA from 1 species